GACGGUUCUCAUGUUGCAUGCUGCAGCCAAAUUAAAACAGCGGAUAUACGGCAUGUUGGCCGACAGAGACAAUCUAACCACUUGAUUCAAAUAUCUCGCAAAGAAAAGCGGGUACUUUACAGUUGCUGUAACCUUAAUUAAAGAAGAUAUUUCGACGAAAAUUUCGUCUGCUGAUGAAAAUAAUGGGAAACACAAUCGCAAUAAG